ensembl:lncRNA
AGCUUGCUCCUGAGAAAUAAACUACAAUCCCGGAACUAGACUAAGUUAAAGGGAGCUUGUUUUACCAGCUUCAGUGAGGUUGAUUAAUCAGGCCAUUUCAAUGUCGAUUUUUGACAUUACUAGUGGGAGGGUCUCACUCACACACAAACACACACACACAAAUGCGCGCAGACACGCACACACACACACACACACACACACACACACACACACACACACACACACACACAUGGCCUACCAGUUUGUACAGGCCCCCAGGGAAUUCUAUUCCGUGGUCUUUGUGAUGUCACAAGUGGAUAGAAUUUGAAAUAUCUUGUUACAGCUGACCAGUGUGAGCGAAUUUAAAUGGAAAAUGGACAUUACGAUCAGAAGGCCUCGGUCAUGAGUGUCUUACCACCUCCCAUCCUGUGUCGGAUUACUUAUUUUGGAUUACUUUGUUUUUUGGUCGUUGUCUUCCAUGGAUUUGAGGGGUUCUUCACGUUUGGAUUACGGACUUGACCCUCUUCCAGACCGUUCUGUGAGAAAUAACCCAGGCAAAACAAUCCUUACAGCUAAGGUUGUGACCUCUGACCUCCCGCAGUCAGAUGACGGGAGACUCCGUUGCUGUAGGAACACUGUGCCUUCGUGUGCCUUCGUGUGCGUGCGGGCGUGUGCGUGCGGUUUGUGACGUGUGCUGUGGUGACAUGCUCAGAGAGACGUGAAAGGAGGUGACAUGAUGUAUGAAGUCCGCCGCGGCGGGGGAGACACUGAUGGAUGGA